rnacentral:rRNA from 1 species
AUGGCAAAAUUUUGGUGGAGCAGUUCUAUAGAUCGAAGAUCUCUACAUUGGAUAGAUUGGAAGUCCUUGUCGCUUCCAAAGGUCAGAGGAGGCAUGGGAUUUCGUGAUCUGGAAUGCUUCAAUAUUGCAUUGUUAGGGAAACAUGGAUGGAGGCUUAUCACCAGCCCGAACUCGUUAUGCUCUCGGGUGUUGAAAAGCCGCUAUUUCUCGAACACAUAUUUCAUGCAUGCUACUAUUCCGUGUAACGCCUCGGCUACCUGGCGAGCGAUCGUUGCCGGGAGGGCGGCACUGGAUACUGGCCUGCUAAAACGGAUUGGCGAUGGCUCGUCCACGCGCGUGUGGCGGGAUGGAUGGAUACCAGGCAAGCUCUCGAUGCGGCCCAAUGCACAGAUCGGUACAACACCUAUCAAUCUUGUUUCAGACCUGAUCGAUGAUGUGACUUGA